UACAGAGGGGGCAAGCGUUGUUCGGAAUUACUGGGCGUAAAGGGCUCGUAGGCGGCCAACUAAGUCAUACGUGAAAUCCCUCAGCUUAACUGGGGAACUGCGUGUGAUACUGGAUGGCUUGAAUUCGGGAGAGGGAUGCAGAAUUCCAGGUGUAGCGGUGAAAUGCGUAGAUAUCUGGAGGAAUACCGGUGGCGAAGGCGGCAUCCUGGACCGACAUUGACGCUGAGGAGCGAAAGCUAGGGGAGCAAACGGG
rnacentral:rRNA from 1 species